ACCACGGUGGUGCAGUGGCACAGCACGAGUCCCCAGAUAGGAUGAAACGAGGGCUCGAUUCCCGCCUGAGGCC